ensembl:misc_RNA Metazoa_SRP Metazoan signal recognition particle RNA
GCCGGGUGCGUUGGCAUGUGCCUGUAAUCCAAGUCACUGGGAGGCUGAGGUUGGUGGAUCAAGUGAGCUGAGGAGCUCUGGGCUGCAGCACGCUAUGUCGAACGGGUGUCCACGCCAAGUUCGGUAUAGAUAUGGUGUUCCUGGGGGAGCCCGGGACCACCAGGUUGUCUAAGGAGGGGUGAACCGGCCCAGGUCGGAAACGAAGCAGGUCAAAUCCCCCGUGCUGUCCAGUAGUGGGAUAAUACCUGUGAGUAGAUGCUGCAGUGCAGCCUUGGCAAAACAUUGAGACCUAGUCUUUU